rnacentral:rRNA from 1 species
CCUACGGGAGGCAGCAGUAGGGAAUCUUCCACAAUGGGCGAAAGCCUGAUGGAGCAACGCCGCGUGGGUGAAGAAGGUCUUCGGAUCGUAAAACCCUGUUGUUAGAGAAGAACGUGCGUGAGAGUAACUGUUCACGUUUCGACGGUAUCUAACCAGAAAGCCACGGCUAACUACGUGCCAGCAGCCGCGGUAAUACGUAGGUGGCAAGCGUUAUCCGGAUUUAUUUGGCGUAAAGGGAACGCAGGCGGUCUUUUAAGUCUGAUGUGAAAGCCUUCGGCUUAACCGGAGUAGUGCAUUGGAAACUGGGAGACUUGAGUGCAGAAGAGGAGAGUGGAACUCCAUGUGUAGCGGUGAAAUGCGUAGAUAUAUGGAAGAACACCAGUGGCGAAAGCGGCUCUCUGGUCUGUAACUGACGCUGAGGUUCGAAAGCGUGGGUAGCAAACAGGAUUAGAUACCCCUGUAGUC